ensembl:lincRNA Gm29291 predicted gene 29291
GGAAGAAAAUUGACGGGAGCACGCCAGAGGAACUCAGGAUGAAGUGAAGAGCCUGCAGUGGGGAGAUCUAGAAGCAUCGGAGCCAUAAAGUAAGGAAGCCUCAAUCAACCCAAGUUCCAGAGGACCCAGUGUGACAGAUAGUGACACAUCCAGGUUGAUAGACUACUGUUCACAAUGGCCACAUUCUGGAGUCAUCCCAGGUGUCCAUCAACAAACGAAUUUGUGAAACGAAUGUGGUGUGCAUGUACAACAAGGAAUUUCAUUCCGCUAUAAAGAAGAACAAAGGAGGAUGAAAUGACAGCCGACCUCUCACGGAGUGCUGAUGACUGAAAGGAAGUGAGUUAAGACUGCCCUCUGUUUGCCACGCCCACGCCACUGGGACCAGGAACUGUGCAAGUUCUGUGUAAGUUGUACAUCUGAAGGAGACAUUUCACUUCUGGGUGCCACCGUUGCAGGUUGACAGGUACACUGGAUAAUAAUGAGGUGGAGCACUCAGAACUGAGCCACACUGUGACACAGAAGUCGUUAAUGAAGUGAAGAUGUUUAGCCAGGACUGCUGCAGAGACUCCAGAAAUAAGAGUUAUCUUCAAAGACUUGACAGCGGUCACUAGAGAAUAAAAUUAAACUUUUUACAAGAUGACAGAACUAUCUUCUUAAAGAACACGGAAACAAACUGAGUUACAUUC